UACGUAGGGUGCGAGCGUUGUCCGGAAUUACUGGGCGUAAAGAGCUCGUAGGUGGUUUGUCGCGUUGUUCGUGAAAACUCACAACUCAAUUGUGGGCGUGCGGGCGAUACGGGCAGACUGGAGUACUGCAGGGGAGACUGGAAUUCCUGGUGUAGCGGUGGAAUGCGCAGAUAUCAGGAGGAACACCGGUGGCGAAGGCGGCCUGCUGGGGUGGAGCUGACGCUGAGGCGCGACAGCGUGGGGAGCAAACAGG
rnacentral:rRNA from 1 species